AAGUCGUAACAAGGUUUCCGUAGGUGAACCUGCGGAAGGAUCAUUAACACGUGUUUACACGUAUUAUCAACCACCGUGAACUUGUUCUCAUAUUGGGCGCGGCUUUCGAGCAAUCGGGGCCGGGACCAUGUCGCACUCUGUGUCAUAGGGCUUGGCAGCGCUCGGCCGCAAGGCUAGGUCUGUCCGGAUUCCGUCACAGAGGUUGGGUCGCGACUAAACCUUUAACUUUAACCCCAUAACAUCGAACUAAUCAAUAGGACUUUUUCGGAAGUCUUUUAUUAAAUCGAACAACUCUUAGCAGUGGAUAUCUCGGCUCUC
rnacentral:misc_RNA from 1 species